rnacentral:rRNA from 1 species
GAUGAACGCUGGCGGCGUGCCUAAUACAUGCAAGUCGAGCGAACAGACGAGGAGCUUGCUCCUCUGACGUUAGCGGCGGACGGGUGAGUAACACGUGGAUAACCUACCUAUAAGACUGGGAUAACUUCGGGAAACCGGAGCUAAUACCGGAUAAUAUAUUGAACCGCAUGGUUCAAUAGUGAAAGACGGUUUUGCUGUCACUUAUAGAUGGAUCCGCGCCGCAUUAGCUAGUUGGUAAGGUAACGGCUUACCAAGGCGACGAUGCGUAGCCGACCUGAGAGGGUGGUCGGCCACACUGGAACUGAGACACGGUCCAGACUCCUACGGGAGGCAGCAGUAGGGAAUCUUCCGCAAUGGGCGAAAGCCUGACGGAGCAACGCCGCGUGAGUGAUGAAGGUCUUCGGAUCGUAAAACUCUGUUAUUAGGGAAGAACAAAUGUGUAAGUAGCUAUGCACGUCUUGACGGUACCUAAUCAGAAAGCCACGGCUAACUACGUG